UACGUAGGUGGCAAGCGUUGUCCGGAAUUAUUGGGGGUAAAGCGCUCGCAGGCGGUUUCUUAAGUCUGGUGUGAAAGCCCACGGCUCAACCGUGGAGGGUCAUUGGAAACUGGGGAACUUGGGUGCAGAAGAGGAGAGUGGAAUUCCACGUGUAGCGGUGAAAUGCGUAGAGAUGUGGAGGAGCACCAAUGGCGAAGGCGGCUCUCUGGUCUGUAACUGACGCUGAGGCGCGAAAGCGUGGGGAGCAAACAGG
rnacentral:misc_RNA from 1 species